GAGUUGGUAUCUCAGUGGUAGAGUGCCUGCUCUGUAUGUAUGAUAUCCUGGGAUCAAUCCCCAGGUCGCUGU
rnacentral:tRNA from 1 species